GAUGAACGCUGGCGGCGUGCCUAAUACAUGCAAGUCGAGCGAACGGACGAGAAGCUUGCUUCUCUGAUGUUAGCGGCGGACGGGUGAGUAACACGUGGAUAACCUACCUAUAAGACUGGGAUAACUUCGGGAAACCGGAGCUAAUACCGGAUGAUAUUUUGAACCGCAUGGUUCAAAAGUGAAAGACGGUCUUGCUGUCACUUAUAGAUGGAUCCGCGCUGCAUUAGCUAGUUGGUAAGGUAACGGCUUACCAAGGCAACGAUGCAUAGCCGACCUGAGAGGGUGAUCGGGCACAAUGGAACUGAGACACGGUCCAGACUCCUAAGGGAGGCAGCAGUAGGGAAUCUUGCGCAAUGGGCGAAAGCCUGACGGAGCAACGCCGCGUGAGUGAAGAAGGUCUUCGGAUCGUAAAACUCUGUUAUUAGGGAAGAACAGAAGUGGAAGUAAAUGUGGACAUCUUGACGGUACCUAAUCAGAAAGCCACGGCUAACUACGUG
rnacentral:rRNA from 1 species